UACAGAGGGUGCGAGCGUUAAUCGGAAUUACUGGGCGUAAAGCGUGCGCAGACGGUCAUGUAAGUCGGGUGUGAAAUCCCCGGGCUCAACCUGGGAAUGGCAUUCGGGACUGCAAGGCUGGAGUGCGGCAGAGGAGACUGGAAUUCCUGGUGUAGCAGUGAAAUGCGUAGAUAUCAGGAGGAAUACCGAUGGCGAAGGCAGGUCUCUGGGCUGACACUGACGCUCAUGCACGAAAGCGUGGGGAGCAAACAGG
rnacentral:rRNA from 1 species